rnacentral:rRNA from 1 species
UGGGGAAUAUUGGACAAUGGGGGCAACCCUGAUCCAGCGAUGCCGCGUGUGCGAAGAAGGCCUGCGGGUUGUAAAGCACUUUAAGUUGGGAGGAAGGGCAGUUACCUAAUACGUAUCUGUUUUGACGGUACCUGGAGAAUAAGCCCCGGCAAACUUCGUGCCAGCAGCCGCGGUAAUACGAAGGGGGCUAGCGUUGUUCGGAAUUACUGGGCGUAAAGCGCACGUAGGCGGAUUGUUAAGUCAGAGGUGAAAUCCCGGAGCUCAACUUCGGAACUGCCUUUGAUACUGGCAAUCUAGAGUCCGGAAGAGGUUAGUGGAAUUCCCAGUGUAGAGGUGAAAUUCGUAGAUAUUGGGAAGAACACCAGUGGCGAAGGCGGCUAACUGGUCCGGUACUGACGCUGAGGUGCGAAAGCGUGGGGAGCAAACAGGAUUAGAUACCCCGGUAGUCCCUGAGCGGGCUGGCAAGGCGCAU